rnacentral:lncRNA from 1 species
UCAGCCACCCUUUUCCCCUCCUCUCUUCCCCUCAGCGCCGAAUCGUUCUUCCUUCCACUCUCGCCGCCGCCGCCGCCGCUGCUGUUCCCGUGGUUGCCACAAGUUGCUGUCGCGCGCCUUGCCAUCGCUAUCCAUCGCUAUUGUUGCUGGUUUUCCUGCUGUCGCGGCUGUGUCGCCAUUGCUGGAGCUGCCACUGCCGUUGCCACUCACCGCCGCCGCCGCCGCUGUUCCCGUGGCUGUCGCCUCAUUAAAACUUGUUGGAAACAUGAAUUGAAAGCCUUUGAUUGCAAUUCUUUUUUGAUCUUUUUUGAAACAUG